UACGGGGGAGCAAGCGUUGUUCGGAUUUACUGGGCGUAAAGGGCUCGUAGGUGGCCAACUAAGUCGGACGUGAAAUCCCUCGGCUUAACCGGGGAACUGCGUCCGAUACUGGUUGGCUUGAGUUUGGGAGAGGGAUGCGGAAUUCCAGGUGUAGCGGUGAAAUGCGUAGAUAUCAGGAGGAACACCGGUGGCGAAGGCGGCUUCUGGACAG
rnacentral:rRNA from 1 species